CAGUAGGCCACGGUAAUACGAAGGGUGCAAGCGUUACUCGGAAUUACUGGGCGUAAAGCGUGCGUAGGUGGUGGUUUAAGUCCGUUGUGAAAGCCCUGGGCUCAACCUGGGAAUUGCAGUGGAUACUGGGUCACUAGAGUGUGGUAGAGGAUAGUGGAAUUUCCGGUGUAGCAGUGAAAUGCGUAGAGAUCGGAAGGAACAUCUGUGGCGAAGGCGACUAUCUGGGCCAACACUGACACUGAGGCACGAAAGCGUGGGGAGCAAACAGGAUUAGAUACCCGAGUAGUCCCUGUCUCUUAUA
rnacentral:rRNA from 1 species